rnacentral:rRNA from 1 species
AGAGUUUGAUCCUGGCUCAGGAUGAACGCUAGCGGCAGGCUUAACACAUGCAAGUCGAGGGGCAGCGGGGAGGAAGCUUGCUUUCUCCGCCGGCGACCGGCGCACGGGUGAGUAACACGUAUGCAACCUGCCCCUGUCAGGGGGACAACCCGCCGAAAGGCGGGCUAAACCCGCGUACAUGCCACCGGGGCAUCCCGGAGGCAGGAAAGGCUUCGGCCGGACAGGGAUGGGCAUGCGGCGCAUUAGGCAGUAGGCGGGGUAACGGCCCACCUAACCGACGAUGCGUAGGGGUUCUGAGAGGAAGGUCCCCCACACUGGUACUGAGACACGGACCAGACUCCUACGGGAGGCAGCAGUGAGGAAUAUUGGUCAAUGGUCGGGAGACUGAACCAGCCAAGCCGCGUGAGGGAGGAAGGUACAGAGUAUCGUAAACCUCUUUUGUCAGGGAACAAAGGCGGGGACGUGUCCCCGGAUGAGUGUACCUGAAGAAAAAGCAUCGGCUAACUCCGUGCCAGCAGCCGCGGUAAUACGGAGGAUGCGAGCGUUAUCCGGAUUUAUUGGGUUUAAAGGGUGCGCAGGCGGUCUGUUAAGUCAGCGGUCAAAGCCCGGGGCUCAACCCCGGCCCGCCGUUGAAACUGGCAGUCUCGAGUUGGAGAGAAGUAUGCGGAAUGCGCGGUGUAGCGGUGAAAUGCAUAGAUAUCGCGCAGAACUCCGAUUGCGAAGGCAGCAUGCCGGCUCCACACUGACGCUGAGGCACGAAAGCGUGGGUAUCGAACAGGAUUAGAUACCCUGGUAGUCCACGCAGUAAACGAUGAAUGCUGGCUGUCCGGGGGGAUUGACCCCUGGGUGGCGAAGCGAAAGCGAUAAGCAUUCCACCUGGGGAGUACGCCGGCAACGGUGAAACUCAAAGGAAUUGACGGGGGCCCGCACAAGCGGAGGAACAUGUGGUUUAAUUCGAUGAUACGCGAGGAACCUUACCCGGGCUCAAACGGGGAGUGACUCAGGCAGAGACGCCUGUUUCCCACGGGACACUCCCCGAGGUGCUGCAUGGUUGUCGUCAGCUCGUGCCGUGAGGCGUCGGCUUAAGUGCCAUAACGAGCGCAACCCCCGCGUGCAGUUGCUAACAGAUAACGCUGAGGACUCUGCACGGACUGCCGGCGCAAGCCGCGAGGAAGGCGGGGAUGACGUCAAAUCAGCACGGCCCUUACGUCCGGGGCGACACACGUGUUACAAUGGGUGGUACAGCGGGAAGCCAGGCGGCGACGCCGAGCGGAACCCGAAAUCCACUCUCAGUUCGGAUCGGAGUCUGCAACCCGACUCCGUGAAGCUGGAUUCGCUAGUAAUCGCGCAUCAGCCAUGGCGCGGUGAAUACGUCCCCGGGCCUUGCACACACCGCCCGUCA